AUUGAACGCUGGCGGCAGGCCUAACACAUGCAAGUCGAGCGAGCGGCGGACGGGUGAGGAAUGUAUGGGGAUCUGCCAGAUAGAGGGGGAUAACUACUGGAAACGGUGGCGAAUACCGCAUACUAUCGGAUGAACCCAUAUGGGAUUAGAGAGUAGGUGGGGUAAAGGCUCACCAAGGCGACGAUCUCUAGCUGGUCUGAGAGGAUGAUCAGCCACACUGGGACUGGGACACGGCCCAGACUCAUACUGGCUGCAGCAGUGUGGAAUAUUGCAAAAUGUGCGCAGUCCUGAUGCAGCCAUGCCGCGUGUCUGAAGAAGGCCUUAGGGUUGUAAAGUACUUUCAGCGGGGAGGCGUUACCCGCAGAAGAAGCACCGGCUAACUCCGUGCCAGCAGCCGCGGUAAUUC
rnacentral:rRNA from 1 species